rnacentral:rRNA from 1 species
GUCUAUGGCCAUGCCAUCCUGAACAAGCCUGAUAUCUGAUCUUGGCUGCUAAGCAGGGUUGGGCCUGGUUGGUACUUGGAUGAGAGACCACCUAGAAAGACCUGGUGCUGUAGGCA